rnacentral:lncRNA from 1 species
UGAACCAAGACAAGGGUCAGACCAUGCUGAGAGCUAACCAAUGAGGACCCUAAGAACCCAUCAAUCUCCAUUUGAGUUGAUCCUUACCAGUCGAUUUUCAUCUGGAUCUAAACAUUACCCAUCGAUCUCCAUCCGGGCUGAUCCUUACCCAUCGAUUUUCAUUCGAAUCCAAAUAUCGUCCGUCGAUCUCUAUCCAAACUGAUCCUUACCCAUAAUUUUCAUCUGAAUCCAAACAUCGCCCGUCGAUCUCCAUCCGGGCUA